CGCCUGCGCUGAAAGAGUGGGCAGAAAGGAGCUGACCUGGACCAAACCAAUGCACAACUCCUACGUACUGAUGGUGGUCUUACGUUUCCCUAAGUUUCUGCCGACUAAACUGUGCACACGUUCUCAGGACCUCCUGAAGCUGCGUCACAGGCGCUGAUCAAAGAACACAACCAAGAGUUUGGCCUUUUCUUCAGCACUGGGAAUUGUGAUCCAAAGCUUUUCCUGAUGAGGCACAAAGUUGGAGAAACAAAACGCAAACUAAGCAACAAUGAAACAGAACAGAGUGAAUCUGCUGUAGCUCAAGAGAGGACGUAGCUGCCCCCACUCCGCAUCCCCGGGCUCGGGUUUGCCUUGCUGACCUCUGCUGCCACCUGGUGCCGCACAGAGAAACUGAGGAGAAACCACAUCAGUCUCCUUCAGCCUCAGCUUCACAUCUGUGGUGGGUCAAGCAACCCUUUCAGAAGCUGUAUAAUGUGGGAAAGCUUUCCUCUCAGGAAAAUGCACACAUCCAACUUUGAGAAGAUGCCCUUGGGGGCGCUUCAAGGAUCCUAGAUAAAGAACCCCCUUUCCCGAACAUCCAAGAACCUAAGUUUUUUUUUUUUUUUUUGAGAAAGUCUCACUCUCUCUCCCAUUCUGGAGUGCAGUGGUGUGAUCUUGGCUCACUGCAAGCUCCACCUCCCAGG
rnacentral:lncRNA from 10 species